rnacentral:rRNA from 1 species
UGGGGAAUAUUGCACAAUGGGCGAAAGCCUGAUGCAGCAACGCCGCGUGAGUGAUGAAGGCCUUUCGGGUUGUAAAGCUCUGUCUUUUGGGACGAUAAUGACGGUACCAAAGGAGGAAGCCACGGCUAACUACGUGCCAGCAGCCGCGGUAAUACGUAGGUGGCAAGCGUUGUCCGGAUUUUACUGGGCGUAAAGGAUGCGUAGGCGGAUUUUUAAGUGAGAUGUGAAAUACCCGGGCUUAACUUGGGUGCUGCAUUUCAAACUGGGAAUCUAGAGUGCGGGAGAGGAGAAUGGAAUUCCUAGUGUAGCGGUGAAAUGCGUAGAGAUUAGGAAGAACACCAGUGGCGAAGGCGAUUCUCUGGACCGUAACUGACGCUGAGGCAUGAAAGCGUGGGUAGCAAACAGGAUUAGAUACCCUGGUAGCA